GGGCCCGCACAAGCGGUGGAGUAUGUGGUUUAAUUCGAUGCAACGCGAAGAACCUUACCAGGGUUUGACAUCCUGCGAAUCUCUUGGAAACAGGAGAGUGCCUUCGGGAACGCAGUGACAGGUGGUGCAUGGCUGUCGUCAGCUCGUGUCGUGAGAUGUUGGGUUAAGUCCGGCAACGAGCGCAACCCACAUCCCUAGUUGCCAGCAGUUCGGCUGGGCACUCUAUGGAAACUGCCCGUGAUAAGCGGGAGGAAGGUGUGGAUGACGUCAAGUCCUCAUGGCCCUUACGGGUUGGGCUACACACGUGCUACAAUGGUAGUGACAAUGGGUUAAUCCCAAAAAGCUGUCUCAGUUCGGAUUGGGGUCUGCAACUCGACCCCAUGAAGUCGGAAUCGCUAGUAAUCG
rnacentral:rRNA from 1 species